rnacentral:tRNA from 1 species
GGGCGGUUAGCUCAGUCGGUAGAGCAGUGGCCUUUUAAGCCAUUGGUCCAGGGUUCGAGUCCCUGACCGCCCA